rnacentral:lncRNA from 1 species
CGGGAAUUAAACAAAGCCUACUAUGGGCUCAUCAUUUGAGAGCGACCUUUAUGUUUCUUGUCAAAAAAAAACAACAGUCUCUGGAGGCCUGGUUUAGUUCCGAAAAGAUUUCGGAUUUCGGUACUGUAGCACUUUCAUUUGUUUGUGACAAAUAUUAUCUAAUUAUGGACUAACUAGGCUUAAAAGAUUCGUCUCGUCAAUUUCGACCAAACUGUGCAAUUAGUUUUUAUUUUUGUUUAAAUUUAAUAUUCUAUGCAUGUGUCUAAAGAUUCGAUGUGACGGGGAAUAUGAAAAAUUUUACAAAUUUUCCAUGGAAGUAAACAAGGCCUAAAAAAAACUCGGUGCGUCAGAGGUGUCCUCAGGGCUGAUUAUUGGAAUUGUACACACAGGCGUACAGAUGGCAUUUAUUGGUGUACUAUUGCCACUGGCACACACUCACCCGUGGCAGAGGCGUACGUGUACUACAGUAUAUACUACAUACUCCGUAAGUAGUAUACUCUCUGUAUCUAUAAAAAAAAUCGUUUUGGAUAAAAUUUGUGUC